rfam:Arabis alpina cultivar Pajares chromosome 4, whole genome shotgun sequence.
UUUGGGAAGUGAUGAUAAGAUAUCGAUAAGUCCUAAGCAUUUUGCAAUGCGGAACAAGAUAUUUGCACGUCAGUCUGAUCCCAUA